GAUGAACGCUGGCUGGCAGGCUUAACACAUGCAAGUAGAACGGUAACAUUGUUUUAGAUGGGGUUUGUUUACAGAUUUUGUUUAGAAUAGAUGACGAGUUGCGAACGGGUGCGUAACGCGUAUGGAAUCUACCUAUUACACGAGGAUAGCCCUGAGAAAUUGGGAUUAAUAUUUGAUGUGGUAUUUACGAGGCAUCUUGUAGGUAUUAAAGAUUUGUUUUGGUAAUAGAUGGUCAUGCGUCCUAUUAGUUAGUUGGUGAGGUAAAGGCUCACCAAGGCGACGAUGGGUAGGGGUCUUGAGAGGGAUUUCCCCCACACUGGUACUGAGACACGGACCAGACUCCUACGGGAGGCAGCAGUGAGGAAUAUUGGUCAAUGGACGGAGGUCUGAACCAGCCAUGCCGCGUGUAGGAUUAAGGCUUUUGGGUUGUAAACUACUUUUGUACUUGAGGAAUUGUAUCUAUGCGUAGGUGCUUGACGUUAGAGUAAGAAUAAGCACCGGCUAACUCCGUGCCAGCAGCCGCGGUAAUACGGAGGGUGCGAGCGUUAUUCGGAAUUAUUGGGUUUAAAGGGUCUGUAGGCUGGUAGAUAAGUCAGUGGUGAAAAGCAGUAGCUUAACUAUUGUCGUGCCAUUGAUACUGUUUAUCUUGAGUUAUAGAGAAGCAGAUGGAAUGCGUAGUGUAGCGGUGAAAUGCAUAGAUAUUACGCGGAAUACCGAUUGCGAAGGCAGUUUGCUAUUUAUAUACUGACGCUGAUAGACGAGAGCGUGGGUAGCGAAAGGGAUUAGAUACCCCCUGUAGU
rnacentral:rRNA from 1 species